CCCUGAUGUGGGUCAUUGACUCGUGCCCUGGUGGGCUAAUUCCCGGAAAAGAAAAUUAUCGGAUUUAGUGCCGUUAAAACUCACUCGCUGAUUCCUGUCUUGUAACCAUGCCCUAACCAUUUUAGAAUAUCUCCCCCAAUGCCAUGAGCCUCUACUUUUCUUAUUAGUCUUUUGUGGGGGACUCUGUCGAAGGCUUUGGUAAAGUCGAGGUAUACUACAUCAUAAUCGUUCGUGUAGUCCACUGAUUCGAAAACGGCUGAAAAGACUCUCCCCCCUGCUGGGAUGACUUCCUUUAUAAGUACACUUACUGAUUGGAAUCCAAGAAUAUCGCUCUCGCACCCUCUUUUCCAUGUCUAGGUAUUGUUUAAUGUUAUUUUGACUUGAGAAGUUUUGCAUUAAAAAUAUCGAUAUCUCGAAGAUAAAAAACUAUAAAAUAAGUUAAAGCAAAUAACAAUAUAGUUGUCCGACCACGUGAUCACCGCAUGGUCAGUGGCAGGAGAGGCGUGGGGCGCCCUGUGGCUUUAGUCUUUGUGUAGCAGUGGUAGAGGUUGGGUGUCCCGCGCUGCUCGCAGAUUUGGUUUUUGGUUAUAGUGCAUUUUGGGAGAUUUUCACCCGAGGAUGAUCUGGACCACAUUCUGAACACUACUGGUGAAUUACCUGAGAACCUAAGUGAUCUUGACAGUGAGGAUGAAGAACAAGUGGAUAAGUUAGAAUUUGAGGAACUAUAUGACAGUGAUAUAGACCAAGAUUACAACCCUGAACCUAGUGAUGUGGAGAGUUAUGAGUCUAGUGAUAGUGAAGUGCCCCUUCUGCCACCCUCAAGAGAAAAAGCAAGGCGUACGUCAACCUCUGCAAAACGUCGUGGUGCCUAUAGGUGUCUUGCCCCUGCUCCUGCCCCUAGCGGUUGAUCUCCUUGAGAACUGCGGCAUGUCCUUUUUGGGGACCAUCAAGGCGAACAAGAAGGAAGUUCCCAAGGAGAUGACGGAUAGGGACAACCGCAGGCUAGGGUCAACUGCGUUCCUGUUCACAAAGGAGCUGACUCUGGUGGCGUACGUCCCAACAACAUCCAAGACGAAGAAGAAACUGGUGCUACUGUUGUCUUCCAUGCACACACAGCCAACCAUCAGAAACACCGGCAAACCAGAGGUGAUCGAAUUCUAUAAUGCCACCAAAGGUGGCGAAGACACAUUCGACCAAAUGUGUUCCCAUUACUCGUGUGCACGGAAGACAAAACGGUGGCCGUUGUGUAUGUUCUAGUGGAUGGUGAAUGCUGGAGUUACGUGGAUCAUACACAAAAAUAAUAUGUCAAGGACAGGUGGCAAGUUACUGAAGAGGCGGACGUACAUGCAAGCUUUGGCACAGUCCCUCUUCACACCAUGGGCAGAGAAAAGGCUCCGCUCUCCAUUUCUAUCACGGGGACUCAAGUCCCUCAUUUGCAGCGUCUGCGACCUCCCUUCACCUGGAAGAGUUGCAAGGCCACCAGGGACACCAGUUGCUGACAGCAAGGACCCUUUGGUGCGGUGUGUCGAGUGCCCAAAGGGGUCUGACCGCAAGACACGGCACAGAUGCCACGGCUGCAGUCAACCGAUGUGCCCUCGCCACUUCUACCCUGUCUGUGCUAACUGCGUGCCAAACUCGCAGUGAUGCUGGGAGGUUGCGGCUGCCACAGCUGAGGCUCACCUGACCUGGCAGUACCCACACCAACGCUCAAGCCUUUAGCUGCAGUAUUAUAGUUCCUUAGCUUUUUUAUGUUCACUCAUAUAGUAAUUUUCAGUAUUUUUAGUCAUUUUUUCUAAGUCACCCCCCAAAGUAUAAGUUUAAGUUAUGUCAUGGUUCCUAGGGGGAAACUAAAGCAGAAGAGUUAUAUUUUCCAUGUAUUUUUAUAAUUUUAAUAUAUCUUAAUUACAA